AGGCUCCUCUAAGCAGACUGAUCAGGAAGUAGACUCAGCUGGGCUCAGCUUACUUCUGAGUAAACAUGCUGAGGAUCCUCAAACAAUAAACUAGAAGAAGCUUUAUGUCACUGUCCUUUGCUUGGAAGUCUGCUCACUGAAUUCAGCUCACAAGGAGACUGGAGCUUUCUGGGUAAAGUCUAACCUGAUGCCCAACCUUCCCCCCCAGCACAGGAUGGCUUCCAAACCAGGUUGUUCUGGAUUGCCCAGCGGAUGCCUGCUUCAAUUACAUUCACCAGCAAGAGCCAAGCCUGCAUGACCCGGUGGCUUAUCCCAAAGUUCAGGUCAUUAAGAGGAAACUUAAGUACGACUCUGUCAGAGCCUGCUGCCUGGAGGUGCGGUUUGAUCAUCUCACAGUAAGCGCAGACGCCACAUGAGGUGACCUUGCCAAAUAGGUCAGGGAACAAUACACCGGGGGAUUAUUCUGCAGGCUCCACACAAAGGCAAAGAAUCACCAUUCUUCUGUUGAAAAAACUGGAAGCAAGUUCCUAGUCCUCAAGCAGAUCACGAUCUUUUUGGAGGAGGGGUGGGAGCGGAAUAUCAACAAAAGGAUCGAAGGCCAAGGGCUACAAGAGAUAGCUGCUGCACCUUUAAUAGCUGUGUUGACGGGUUCUUUAAAUGCUGUGCUAUUUGUAAUUCUCAGUCAGUGUAGACAUCUCUGUAUUAUCUACCCUUGCCUCUGUUGUCUACUCCUCCUCCCUAUAUGAAAAAUGUUUUACAUGCAGAGAUGAGAAAGGCUGUACCUGCUGAAUUUCUGGCCUACUUUGUGAAAGCAUUAAGGUUUGUAACAAGUACAGGGGGGGGGCAUGAUAGACAGACAUUUCUUGUUUUUCUCAGAUUUCCCUCCCUCUCCCCUCCUUCUAGACAGCGUGAGAGUGUUAACCUCAUGAUUCCAUACUGGCCACAUGUAUGUCCGUAUUCAGAAUGGCUUUAUUUCCCAGGAGCAAUAAACUUUCUUUCUUCUUUCACCCAUCAGUCUUACUAGACGGAUGCAUUUCUGCACUUCAC